AAGAACUCUGCUUCUCCUCUGGUUUUGCUUUGUAGGGGGAGAAGGCAGCCGUGUCUGAAGCCAGGCCAAUGAUGACUGUGGUGGUUGGUGCUUGCCCAAGCCCUCCUUUACACUCUUAUCCCCUCCUUCCUCACUGUGACUCUGUCUCUGCUCAAUCAACACAACCGGAAGUUUCAUUCCAGGAGCCCUGGUGGUGCAGAGGUUCCUUGGCUGCCCUACUAACUAAAUUGACAGAAGACAGAGUAAGGAGCUACCCAGAGGGCUGCACGGUCAGGAUCCAUGCUGUGGCCGCGUUUCUUCUGGAUGCCUGAUUUGGGCCACGUUGUCAUGAUUCCAUCAGAGGAGUGAGCCUUUUGCAGGGGUUUGAGCAGAGGAGAGACAUGACCUGACUCACUGCUGUGAUGAUGCUUGACCGUGGGGAGCUGAGGUAGAACAAAGAAGAUCAAUCAGGUGAGAGGCAAGGGAAUGGACGUAAUCAGGGGUCUGGCUUGGAUGACUGUGUGUAUGGUGGUGUACGCACUAGGAAAAGCAAUCAAGGAGAAAGAGGAGGCUUGAGAUGAGGGGAGUGAUGAUGAUUUCUCAUCUAAUUUAUUCCCAUCAGAUUUUUCUACCUCUUCAUAGCCUAACUCCAUAGCGCUCCCUGUCCCUCACCUUCCAUUUACUUGUCAACACUUUACAAUCUGAUUAUUGCACCUCUUUCAGUCUUUCUUGAGGGCUCCUCUUCCUUGGCCAGUGCUUAAAUGUUUUUGCUCUCCA